rnacentral:rRNA from 1 species
GACGAACGCUGGCGGCGUGCUUAACACAUGCAAGUCGAACGGAAAGACCCUGCUUUUGUGGGGUGCUCGAGUGGCGAACGGGUGAGUAACACGUGAGUAACCUGCCCUUGACUUUGGGAUAACUUCAGGAAACUGGGGCUAAUACCGGAUAGGAGCUCCUGCUGCAUGGUGGGGGUUGGAAAGUUUCGGCGGUUGGGGAUGGACUCGCGGCUUAUCAGCUUGUUGGUGGGGUAGUGGCUUACCAAGGCUUUGACGGGUAGCCGGCCUGAGAGGGUGACCGGCCACAUUGGGACUGAGAUAAGGCCCAGACUCCUACGGGAGGCAGAAGUGGGGAAUAUUGCACAAUGGGCGGAAGCCUGAUGCAGCAACGCCGCGUGAGGGAUGACGGCCUUAGGGUUGUAAACCGCUUUCGCCUGUGACGAAGCGUGAGUGACGGUAAUGGGUAAAGAAGCACCGGCUAACUACGUG